rnacentral:lncRNA from 1 species
AGCCAUAUGUCUUUGCCUUGUCCUCUAAAGAAAGAAAGACCAGUGCCAUCCAUCCCAUUCCCCUAUCAGUAAUUUCUCCAACAUUACUAUUUGAUCAUUAUCUACUAUUUAAUUUAAUCUUCCCUCUGGUGUAGAGCUUCUUCACCUGAAAGUUAUUCAAUUCACAGUAUAGAAAACUACAUAUAAAGUGUUUAAUUUUUUUUAAUACCAUAUCCUAUUAAGAAAGGGAACUACUCAAGUGAAAGAUAGAAAGAGAUACCUGCAGGCUGCAACUUGAUUCUUGUAGUUAACUAGAAAUAAAAUCAUUAAGUUCAAUGAAUGAUAUAAAUAAUAGAUGUCUAACCUUAGAAGUUUCAGAAUUAAAAAUAAGCAUGAUAUAUAAACUUUAAUACCGGGAGACACCAACAAAAAAUACAAGUUCAAUGACCUUGCGAAGUUCCAUAUGACUAAAGAGUUCUCUGAAUAUAAUAAUAACCUUUCAAGUAAUAGUAAAAGAGAAAUGAUCAUUUCUAACACAAACUGGAAUCACUGAAGUACAUUAAAAAAGGGUCAAAAUAAAAAGGGAUAUCUAAAACCCUUGUCCCCUGCAUACAUUUGGUUGUACUUCUUAUUAGAGGAAAAAAGAAACUAAAAGUGGACAGAGAAAUAUGUAUCAAACUUUUUUUCUACAAUAAACAAGUCUAAAUCUUACACUUGAAAUUUAUAACAACACAAAUAAAUUUAAUGAGAAACUUAUGACAUUCAUAAAAUGUGGUGAAGGGAGUGUAUUAACUUAAUCAAUUUAGGACAGGUGCAGUGUAACUAGAACAAGGCUAGAUUAAUAACUUCAGAUCAUACCUACAUAAGUAUAUAGUAACUUAAAUAAAUGAGUUGAGUAG